rnacentral:lncRNA from 1 species
GCGACAUUCAGAUAUACAUCAAAUUGUUGUUAUCAAAAUUACUCCAUCGAAAUAAACACAUACAAGAAAUUGAUUAUCCAUCUUCAAUACUAAAUCUGUUAAAAAAGAAAUAAAAAUUCUCAAUAUAAUAAACAUCAAACUAAACAAAUUAGUAACAAUAUUAUUUAUAAUAAUUUCUAAUCCUUUGUAUUUAAAAAAAAAACAUAUCUUCACCUCCCCUUUCUUUCUUCUAGUUUUCUUUUCCUUUAAUCUUCUCUACUAAUUUUUUUUCUCUUCUACUUUUUUUUACUACUCUUCUUCUUCGGGGCCAUGGUUGUUUUAAGGGAGCUAGUCCGGUGCCGCCUCUCAAAUAGGGGCCACUAGUGCCGCGUACCUAAGAGGGGUCACUAGUGUUGCCUACUUAAGAGGGGUCACUAGUACCGCCUCUUUGAGAGGCACCACCCCUCUAUACCAUACAGGUAUAUAAAUACUGGGUUUGGUAUAAACCUGUUGAGUGGUGCUACCUACCAAUAAGGCACC